rnacentral:misc_RNA from 1 species
UAAAUAAAUAUCGAGGUUGUUGCUGCCUUUUUUGUGUGGUGACGGCUUCGGAAUUGGGUCUUCUUUACCUUCGGGUUUAAGUGAUCUAAAAUUUUUACAUGAUUUUUCGAACGUAUUUAAAUUGUUUACGUACGUUUGUAAUUUCGAAUAAUUAGGUGUGAUCAUCCUCAUGAUUUCACGUCUAUAAUUUUUUCAUU